AGGCUCAGGAGACAUGGACAGUAUUUCCAAAAACUCUCCCAGUAAUAUGAGCAUGAGCAACCAGCCUGGCACUCCCAGGGAUGACAGUGAGAUGGGUGGAAACUUCCUCAACCCUUUUCAGAGCGAGAGUUACUCCCCUAGCAUGACAAUGAGCGUGUGACCCGUUCACAAGUGUCGCCGUGAAGACCACAGUGAGUUGGCCCUCCCCAGAGAGCUACUGCAGAAGAAAAUUAUUCGUCCCAGUGUACAGUUUAACUAAAGGAUCUCAGACACAAUCAGACCCACCUGUUUGUUUUUUUUCUCCUACCAUCUCCUCUGUUUUGUCAAGAAAGUGGGUCCCAAACACGCUUGAGACAACUGUCAGGAGUGGCAUGAGAGAAGUGCCCGAGGUGGAGCUGCCAGCGCCUGUCUGUGUGUGUACAUGUGUGGGUCAGCGUGGGGUGUGUGUGUGUGACAUCCAAACACACACACACACACAGACCCCAGGACGCUGUCCAAUAGGAUCACAUGGCAUCUUACUAGAAAUCAGAAGUAGGGACUUUUAUUCCAUUUCUUUUUUUUUUCACGUUUGCAUUUUAAUUAUUAAAAUUUGCUUUCCCUCUCCCA